rnacentral:rRNA from 1 species
UUGAAGAGUUUGAUCAUGGCUCAGAUUGAACGCUGGCGGCAGGCCUAACACAUGCAAGUCGAGCGGUAGCACAGAGAGCUUGCUCUCGGGUGACGAGCGGCGGACGGGUGAGUAAUGUCUGGGAAACUGCCUGAUGGAGGGGGAUAACUACUGGAAACGGUAGCUAAUACCGCAUAACGUCGCAAGACCAAAGUGGGGGACCUUCGGGCCUCAUGCCAUCAGAUGUGCCCAGAUGGGAUUAGCUAGUAGGUGGGGUAACGGCUCACCUAGGCGACGAUCCCUAGCUGGUCUGAGAGGAUGACCAGCCACACUGGAACUGAGACACGGUCCAGACUCCUACGGGAGGCAGCAGUGGGGAAUAUUGCACAAUGGGCGCAAGCCUGAUGCAGCCAUGCCGCGUGUGUGAAGAAGGCCUUCGGGUUGUAAAGCACUUUCAGCGGGGAGGAAGGCGGUGAGGUUAAUAACCUCAGCGAUUGACGUUACCCGCAGAAGAAGCACCGGCUAACUCCGUGCCAGCAGCCGCGGUAAUACGGAGGGUGCAAGCGUUAAUCGGAAUUACUGGGCGUAAAGCGCACGCAGGCGGUCUGUCAAGUCGGAUGUGAAAUCCCCGGGCUCAACCUGGGAACUGCAUUCGAAACUGGCAGGCUAGAGUCUUGUAGAGGGGGGUAGAAUUCCAGGUGUAGCGGUGAAAUGCGUAGAGAUCUGGAGGAAUACCGGUGGCGAAGGCGGCCCCCUGGACAAAGACUGACGCUCAGGUGCGAAAGCGUGGGGAGCAAACAGGAUUAGAUACCCUGGUAGUCCACGCCGUAAACGAUGUCGAUUUGGAGGUUGUGCCCUUGAGGCGUGGCUUCCGGAGCUAACGCGUUAAAUCGACCGCCUGGGGAGUACGGCCGCAAGGUUAAAACUCAAAUGAAUUGACGGGGGCCCGCACAAGCGGUGGAGCAUGUGGUUUAAUUCGAUGCAACGCGAAGAACCUUACCUGGUCUUGACAUCCACAGAACUUAGCAGAGAUGCUUUGGUGCCUUCGGGAACUGUGAGACAGGUGCUGCAUGGCUGUCGUCAGCUCGUGUUGUGAAAUGUUGGGUUAAGUCCCGCAACGAGCGCAACCCUUAUCCUUUGUUGCCAGCGGUUAGGCCGGGAACUCAAAGGAGACUGCCAGUGAUAAACUGGAGGAAGGUGGGGAUGACGUCAAGUCAUCAUGGCCCUUACGACCAGGGCUACACACGUGCUACAAUGGCAUAUACAAAGAGAAGCGACCUCGCGAGAGCAAGCGGACCUCAUAAAGUAUGUCGUAGUCCGGAUUGGAGUCUGCAACUCGACUCCAUGAAGUCGGAAUCGCUAGUAAUCGUAGAUCAGAAUGCUACGGUGAAUACGUUCCCGGGCCUUGUACACACCGCCCGUCACACCAUGGGAGUGGGUUGCAAAAGAAGUAGGUAGCUUAACCUUCGGGAGGGCGCUUACCACUUUGUGAUUCAUGACUGGGGUGAAGUCGUAACAAGGUAACCGUAGGGGAACCUGCGGUUGGAUCACCUCCUU